rnacentral:snRNA from 1 species
AUACUUACCUGGCAGGGGAGACACCAUGAUCAUGAAGAUGGUUUUCCCAGAGCGAGGCUCACCCGCUGCUCCGGGUAUGCUGACCCCUGCGAUUUCUCCAAAUGCAGGAAACUCAACCGCAUAAUGUGUGGUAUGGGGGACUUCAUUCAUGCUGUCCCUG